CCCUUCUCCUCUCCCCCCCGCCCGCCCCCCCCCCUCUCUCUCUCUCUCUCCAGAAUUCAAGCAAAAUCCCACCAUGUCCGUACCUUGACCUCUCUCCCAAAUUCCAAACCCACACUCCCCACUUACAUGUCGAACCACCUCACCUUCUCUCUCUAAAACCCCCCUCUCUCGCUCUACAAGAAAAAACGGAAAUGGUUUCCGUUAACCCAUCACAAGACCUCAACCUCCUCCCCACCACCUCUCUCCUCACCCCCAAAUUGGAACCCAAACCCGAGCCCUACGACCCUUACUUCCCAAUCCCUAACCCUAAAACCCCGCAGAUUCAACCAGACACCACCGCCACCACCAAUGUCUACUCCGAGUACGACCGCAUCUCCGAGGCCUUCCGCACCGCCUUCGCCGCCAAACAGUCCCCCCACUCAGAUCCCGACUCGCGCGCCCUCGUCGCGGUCCCGCCUGACCAAAGCGUCGCCGUUCCCGCGCCCCCCUCCGAGUCGAACCACAAGAAGCGCUCGUCGGAGCUGGUCAGGGUCACGGACUUCGGCGCCACCGAGCGUCGCUACUUCCGCGACCUCAUCCGGAAGACCCGCAUGAUCUACGAGGCCCUGCGGGUCUAUGCCGACGAGGAGGACGAGAAACGGCGGCGGCUUGGCCUCGGGAAGCUCUGCGGCCGCGGGGCGCGGGCUCGGAGCGACUUGAAGUCGGCAUCGGUGAUGAAGGAGAGGGGGCUGUGGCAGAAUCGGGACAAGAGGAUUGUGGGGUCCAUACCCGGGGUUCAAAUUGGGGACUUAUUUGUCUAUCGGAUGGAGCUAUGUGUUGUAGGGUUACAUGGGACGCCUCAGUCCGGAAUCGAUUUCCUUCCGGCUAAUUGUAGCUCGAAUAAGGAGCCCAUCGCGACGAGUAUCGUGGUUUCAGGUGGAUACGAAGACGAUGAAGAUGGCGGUGACGUUAUUAUAUAUACGGGUCAAGGAGGGCAGGACAAGAAUGCAAGGCAAUGUGGUCAUCAGAAGCUGGAAGGGGGAAACCUUGCAUUGGAGCGGAGCAUGUAUUAUGGGCUUGAAGUGAGAGUGAUCCGUGGGCGAAGACAUGAGGGGAGCCCCAGUGGUAAAGUUUAUGUUUAUGAUGGGUUGUACAAGAUUAUUGAGUCAUGGUUUGAUGUGGGUAAAUCUGGGUUUGGGGUGUACAAGUAUAAACUUGUUAGAAUGGAUAAUCAACCCGAAAUGGGUAGUGCUAUUUUGAGAUUUGCUGAGAAUCUGAGGAAUGAUCCGUUGUCGGUUAGACCGGUGGGUUACAUUAGUCUUGAUAUAUCAAUGAAGAAGGAAAGUGUGCCAGUUCUUUUGUACAAUGAUAUAGAUAGUGAGCAUGAACCGGUUUACUAUGAGUAUAUUGCAACGACUGUGUUCCCUCCUUUUGUAUAUCAUGGAGGGGCGUGCAGUGGGUGUGACUGUGUUUCUAUUUGUGGCGAUGAUUGCCUCUGUGCUUGGAAAAAUGGGGGUGGAUUUGCUUACGAUCGUAAUGGAAUUCUAAUGAGAGGCAAACCGUUGAUAUAUGAAUGCGGUAUCAGUUGUCGGUGUCCCCCAGAAUGCCGGAACCGUGUGAGCCAAAAGGGAGUGAAGAAUAGGUUUGAAGUUUUUAGGUCAAGAGAAACUGGUUGGGGAGUUAGGUCUCUGGACUUGAUUACAGCUGGCACUUUCAUUUGUGAGUUUGCUGGAGUUGUUCUCACUAGAGAGCAAGCUGAGCUUUUUACGAUGAAUGGAGAUAGUUUGGUGUAUCCGAAUCGGUUUGCUUCUAGAUGGACUGAAUGGGGGAAUUUAUCUGAUAUAUUUUCUGAUUAUGUGCAUCCUUCGUUUCCGUCAAUUCCUCCAUUAGAAUUUGCGAUGGAUGUGUCAAGAAUGAGGAAUGUGGCUUGUUACAUAAGCCAUAGUUCAAGUCCUAACGUUCUGGUGCAGUUUGUGCUAUAUGAUCACAAUAAUAUGAUGUUUCCGCACCUUAUGCUGUUUGCGAUGGAGAACAUCCCCCCUUUGAGAGAGCUCAGUAUUGAUUACGGUGUGGCUGAUGAAUGGAAUGGGAAGCUUCGUAUUUGCAAUUAGCUAACUUUUAAGGAGUUGAUGCUUUUGUAGUUAUGGUCCAAUUCAGAGUUUUGGGAUGUUAUAUACUGAGAUUGGAAUGGAGAAUCCUUUGGGCGCCAACUUUUGUGACCCAGUUUCUCUGAUUUUGGCAACCCUUGACCCAGUGUCUCAGUUUUUUUGGCAACAACUCUUGACCCAGUUUCUCAGUUUUUGGCAACUACUCAGAUUUUUGUUCUAGGCACGGAAUACAGAAACGGCUAGAUCCUGCAUUUGAUCUUGGGGAAGCUUUUACACUUCCCCUGCUGCUGCUGCGUCUCUAGCUUUCUGAUUCCUGGUUUCAGUUCCCAAACACCACCUAUUCCCUUGUGCUGAAGGAAGAAGGGAAAUAUUGGAACUGAAAGAAGUAGCUCAGGUAAAACUGCCGCUGCAGUGAUUUUUGUUGUUUGUUUGUCUUACCACGCUCCAGAAGGAAACUUCUGCUCCGUGUAUCGAGGUUUUAUGACUAUGAAUGUUGUAAUUGUAGCUCGUAUAUACAAGAAAUCAAUCAGUCCCGAUGGACGUAGUUGCUAGAUCUGUAAA